AAAAAAGGAAUUUUCAUGAUGUUUCUUUUGAUUGCAGGUAACUUAAACCCAAUUAUAAAUGGCUUUGGCUAUAAAGUGUUCUUGAAUGAAAACGUUUAGGAAGUAGGCCUGGAUUCAGAUGCUUCAGAGGCUCAAAGGAAACAGGAAUCGUGGCUAACGGUUUUCUAAUUGUUUAUGGAGAAGAUUGAUCUUCACAAGCUAGUUUUUUCAUAGGCAAAAGCAAAAGUCUCUUCCUGUGUUAUUAAGUGAAAAUGGCUGAUUAUAAAAAGGGGCUUACAAACAAUAUUUAACAAAUCUUCAUCAAGUCCCUACUCUGUGGCAGGCCCUGGGUCAGGAGGUUGCCGAUUCCAGGAAGAAUCAGACCUUAUCCCUGCCCUUGAGUCUCAAGAAGAGGAAAGGAAAACAAAUAAGCAUAGUACAGUGUGAAAAGUGGGACUGUGGUCAAAUUUCAGUCUGCAAACUCAGAAUGGAUGAAAUAUGAAAGACUGACAACAUCAAGUUGUCAAGUAGGACAGGAUGUGGAACCACUGGAACUCAUACGUGACUGAUGGGAAUGCAAAAUGAUACCGAUCCCUUGGAAAACUCCUUGGCAACUUUAAUAAACAUAAAUCUACCCUAUGAUCCAGAAAUUCCACUCUGAGUCACGUCUCCAAGAGCAAUGAAAAUAUAUACCCACAAA
rnacentral:lncRNA from 10 species